AACGAACGCUGGCGGCAUGCCUAAUACAUGCAAGUCGAACGAACGUAGCAAUACGUGAGUGGCGGACGGGUGAGUAACACGUGGGAACCUGCCCAGCGGUGGGGAACAACCGAGGGAGACCUCGGCUAAUACCGCAUACGCCCUUACGGGGAAAGAUUUCUCGCCGUUGGAGGGGCCCGCGUCCGAUUAGCUAGUUGGUGAGGUAACGGCUCGCCAAGGCGACGAGCGGUAACUGGUCUGAGCGCACGACCAGUCACACUGGGACUGAGACACCACCCAUACUCCUACGGGAGGCAGCAGUAGGGAAUCUUUUCCAAUGGGGGAAACCCUGAUCCAGCAAUGCCUCCUCCUUCAUGAAGUCCUUCGUGUUGUCCCCCUCUUUCCCCCCCGACGAUGAUGACGGUAGUGGGAGCCUACGCCCCGGCUAACUCCGUGCCAGCAGCCGCCGUAA
rnacentral:rRNA from 1 species